UAAUACUAUCAGGCUAGCCAGACAAAGUAGAGACAAUCUUCAUAUUCAAGUGUUUUUAUGUUUUGUUUUUUUUUAUAUUUACAUAAAAUUUCAAAGCACCAAAUUUCCAGCCACCUUAUCCCCUGGAAGUCUGGCCUACACACAAAAACAAUAGACAAGCAGAAAAACACAAUGUCUGAGAGUUAUCAUAGAAUCGAUUCCAAAACCAAUAAAUAAAAGUAGGAACUGACCAUUAUUUUUAUUAUAGAUUAAGCUGCCAAUUAUUUUCUUCAUUAACCAUUUCUUAAGAUGUUAGGAAAUAAUGCCAAAUAAUGUCAGAGCUAAUGUGUUCAGAUAUUUUGUUUUUUUCCUCCAAAACUCAGUCAAGAUAUUUAGUUAACAAUUGUAGGAAAAUAAUGAAACCAACAAAUAUUCAAACAGAAGAAUCUGGAACCAGAGAAAUUUGACAUAGUUUCUUAUAAAAAUGACUGAUAGCUUCCGCUUCAUUUUCUGUCAAUAGACUAAUCAACUUAUUGUUGCAACUUGAAGCAAAACUGUGGAGAUCAGUAGAUAUAUUUUUGUAUCUUGGAGACAGAGAUGCCUUUAAACUUUUUUUUAUUGAAUUGACUAACCAUAAAUCUAAGCAUCAGUACUUAUUAGAUAUAAUAAUCUACUUAUUGUGUAAUCAAAUACCUCACAAGACGCAACAACACUAAUAGUAAACAGCCCCUCUGGUUAACAGCCUACAAACAAAUGACCAAGCAAUUAUCCAUGCUGGGCACAUCUAUCGAGUAAUGUUCAAAUUGACAUGACAAGUAGGAGUGUAAACAAUUGUACUCAGUUCAGUUCCAAUAUUACUGCCUGACAUGCACAUCACAUUAUAGGCUUUAAUCCCAUAGCGUAAGUGGUGGCAGACGUUUGGAUCCCACUGUAUGUCAGAAGUUGGUGAAUCUUUGUUCUUGACAUCAGCUGGUGCAGCUCUGGCUUGAUGGUGUCGACUUAUAAAAUGACAAGCAUUCUUUCUGGAUAGAGAUUGAAAUUCAAUACGUGACUUCUAGAAGCCAUUUGCCAUUCCAGUGAUUCCUUCUUUUUUUUUUUUACGUCUGACGGUUGUGGGUUUUCCCCAUGCGGCACCAUCCUCUCACCAACUGCCAGUGUCUGAAGAUGGAGACACAUUUGGAGGAUCAUCAGCUGUUUGACAAAAAAAAAAAAAAAACACCCGUCUGGCGGUGCCUGGCAUUUUGGCACAUGAUCCUAUGGAAGAGGGUGGACACUCAGCCGCAGGAUUCCCUUGCAAGGUGGGGCCUGGGACCUUCCAAAGGCAUCUUUUCCAGUGCCAUAUAUCCUUCUGUCUGCAUCCAUAUCUGGCACAGUCUUUCUUCUCAGUAGCACAGUCAUUCCUCUUUCAUUCCGUGAAGGUCACAGUAUCAAUAACCCACAAGUGCAAUAUGGUUAAUCCGUUUUGGAUAAGGGCCAAGAUUUCUUGUGAGGCUUUCAAAGUAAAGCUGAGUGUUUCCAUCUGACCCAUGUCUGCAGUAACAGAUGACAGACAGAAGCAAAGCACACUGUAAAGCAGCCUUCUAGCACGCCACCAGAGAGACAAUAACAAGGACCUAAUGACAAAGUUUGAUUUAUGUUAUGCUUGAAGUCUACAUGAUGCCCUGAUGGUAGUCACUGAAGUGUCAUUUCCUCUGUUAGGGAUGGCUGCAUCGCUGGCCUUUCUUUCCUCUCCCUCUGCAUGAUGCUUUUCAGGGAGCAACUGAGGACAAAAUAAAAGGCUGUGUGAGUGAUGACCCCCUCUGGUGGACUGAGCAUGAGCCAAAGCAAGAGGUGCAUGGCUUGUUGUUACCAGACAAGACUGAACCUGGCUGACCACUUUCAGUGUUUCCAACAUCUGAGAACACUCAGCUGCUACAUGUAGGAGUGGAGGAAAGAAAGCGGAUAAGGGAGGAGGAGAAAGCAGGAGACAGAGAGAGAGGCCGUCAGAGGUCAUCCUCCAGGACUGCAACCACUCUAACUUUGGGGAGUUUCUGCAGACACUGUGUCUUCGGCCGAACCAUCUCCGCAGACUGAGAUUCAUCGGGGAGAACACCUGCACUGUGCUGUGCUGUGUGGAGCUCUGCCUGCAUGCUCGCCUGCCUGUCUUCCUGACUGCAGCAACAUCUGGCAGAGGAGCAAGUGGAUUCAAAAAGAACAUCUGCACAGCACCAAGCAGCCAAGUAAACAAACAGUUCUAAUGAAAGUAGUCACAGUUCCCAAAUACAAGGCUACAUUGUUGACCACCUAUUUUCCUUUAAUUAAGACCACAUUAUGUAUUGGCAUAGUUUUCCUCCCAGCUUAUUGGGUAACAUUACAACGGCUUAAAAGACAGCUCACUUGUGUCGACUAUUGUAUGAUAUAUAACACACAAAUUGUGGUGGGAUUUUCUAUUUCUAUUCUAUAGUAUUGCAGGGAAGGGAAAGCUGAUUAGCAAAGCAGGCAUUUGAAAUUAAGUGCACUACUGUGAGCAAUGUUCUCAAGAAAAUGCAGCACUUUUCAGUUGGGUAAUGACUGUAUUUUAUACAGAAAUGCACUUUAUGUUGCACAUAGCAGCAUGCUGUAUAUUGGGCAAUAAAUAUACAGCAUGAAAGAAUAUCCAUUGGGUAAUAAUGCUUUUUGUUUCUUU